GUGAACGCUGGCGGUAGGCCUAACACAUGCAAGUCGAACGGCAGCACAGUAAGCGCUUGCUCUUACGGGUGGCGAGUGGCGGACGGGUGAGGAAUACAUCGGAAUCUACUUUUUCGUGGGGGAUAACGUAGGGAAACUUACGCUAAUACCGCAUACGACCUACGGGUGAAAGCAGGGGAUCUUCGGACCUUGCGCGAUUGAAUGAGCCGAUGUCGGAUUAGCUAGUUGGCGGGGUAAAGGCCCACCAAGGCGACGAUCCGUAGCUGGUCUGAGAGGAUGAUCAGCCACACUGGAACUGAGACACGGUCCAGACUCCUACGGGAGGCAGCAGUGGGGAAUAUUGGACAAUGGGCGCAAGCCUGAUCCAGCCAUACCGCGUGGGUGAAGAAGGCCUUCGGGUUGUAAAGCCCUUUUGUUGGGAAAGAAAAGCAGCAGGUUAAUACCCCGCUGUUCCGACGGUACCCAAAGAAUAAGCACCGGCUAACUUCGUG
rnacentral:rRNA from 1 species